CAGAGGCGCGAGCGUUGUCCGGAAUCACUGGGCGUAAAGGGCGCGUAGGUGGCGGCAUAAGGCCGCGGUGAAAGUUCGGGCUCAACCCUGGAAUCGGCCGCGGCGACUGUGUCGCUUGGGCACUGUAGAGGCAGAUGGAAUUCCGGGUGUAGCGGUGGAAUGCGUAGAGAUCCGGAAGAACACCGGUGGCGAAGGCGGUCUGCUGGGCAGUGGAGUCGCAAGGCUCCGUAGCCGACACUGAGCGCGACAGCGUGGGAGCAAACAGGAUU
rnacentral:rRNA from 1 species